rnacentral:lncRNA from 1 species
AUUUAUAAAGAUGAGCCACUCUUGUUUCAUGAAUCCAAAAUCCUCGAAAUUAUAAAAUUCUCCGAAUUGGACAUGUUUACACCAUUCUCAAACUAAAAAGUUACUACCUCCAUCUCAAAUUAGAUGUCCCCGUUGAUUUUGGGCACGUAAUUUUAGGUGCAUUGACCGUCUACUUCCGAAAUUUAUUUUUUUAUUUUUUCUUUUAUAAAUGAAAAUUUCAUAUUUUAAUUUUUAUUUGAUACUACCUCCAUCCCAAAUUAGAUGUCCCCGUUGAUUUUGGGCACGUAACUUUAGGUGCAUUGACCGUCUACUUCCGAAAUUUAUUUUUUUAUUUUUUCUUUU